rnacentral:rRNA from 1 species
UACGUAGGGUGCGAGCGUUGUCCGGAAUUAUUGGGCGUAAAGGGCUCGUAGGCGGUUUGUCGCGUCGGGAGUGAAAACUCAGGGCUUAACCCUGAGCCUGCUCCCGAUACGGGCAGACUAGAGGUAUGCAGGGGAGAACGGAAUUCCUGGUGUAGCGGUGAAAUGCGCAGAUAUCAGGAGGAACACCGGUGCGAAGGCGGUUCUCUGGGCAUUACCUGACGCUGAGACGCGAAAGCGUGGGGAGCGAACCGG